rnacentral:rRNA from 1 species
UACAGAGGUCUCAAGCGUUGUUCGGAUUCAUUGGGCGUAAAGGGUGCGUAGGUGGCGCCGUAAGUCAGGUGUGAAAUUUCGGAGCUUAACUCCGAAACUGCAUUUGAUACUGCGGUGCUUGAGGACUGGAGAGGAGACUGGAAUUUACGGUGUAGCAGUGAAAUGCGUAGAGAUCGUAAGGAAGACCAGUGGCGAAGGCGGGUCUCUGGACAGUUCCAUGACACUGAGGCACGGAAGGCCCAGGGGAGCAAACGGG